rnacentral:lncRNA from 1 species
UCUUUGUGUGAGCACAAAACGCGUCGUCCAUCAUAAUUGUCUGAGCAACCCAUCCUUUUCGAUCAAAGAGUAUUUACAUAAAAUUGUAUGCUCUAAUCUACAAGGCCAAGGCUCAUUCAUAGGUUGGCACCGUGUGAUGGGGUUGACUUACUUAAAUCAUUUUGGAACGCAAAGCGACCAAGAAUAAUUUAAGGACGCAGAUUAAUUGGAUUAAUCAACCAAGAAUUGCAAAAUUGUUGUUGCAAUUGGCUUAGAGGCCUACUAAGUGAUAUUAUUGUAGUCAUCAGCAAAGCAG